rnacentral:rRNA from 1 species
GACGAACGCUGGCGGCGUGCUUAACACAUGCAAGUCGAACGGUGAAGCGAGUGCUUGCACUCGUGGAUCAGUGGCGAACGGGUGAGUAACACGUGAGUAACCUGCCCAUCACUCUGGGAUAAGCACUGGAAACGGUGUCUAAUACUGGAUACGACCAACCCUUGCAUGGGGUGUUGGUGUAAAGAUUUAUCGGUGAUGGAUGGACUCGCGGCCUAUCAGCUUGUUGGCGGGGUAAUGGCCCACCAAGGCGACGACGGGUAGCCGGCCUGAGAGGGUGACCGGCCACACUGGGACUGAGACACGGCCCAGACUCCUACGGGAGGCAGCAGUGGGGAAUAUUGCACAAUGGGCGAAAGCCUGAUGCAGCGACGCCGCGUGAGGGAUGACGGCCUUCGGGUUGUAAACCUCUUUCAGCAGGGAAGAAGCGAAAGUGACGGUACCUGCAGAAGAAGCACCGGCUAACUACGUG